rnacentral:misc_RNA from 1 species
UCCGGUUUAACACCGGCAGUCUCCCUAGAGUUCCCGGCAUGACCCGAUGGCAACUAAGGACAGGGGUUUCGCUCGUUAAGGGACUUAACCCGACAUCUCACGACACGAGCUGACGACAGCCAUGCAACACCUUUGUACGUUCCACCGGUUAAGGUGUCAUUCUACUUUCAUAGAACUAAUCCGUACACUUCGAGCCCGGGUAAGGUUCUUCGCGUUGCAUCGAAUUAAGCAACAUGCUCCACCGCUUGUGUGAGCCCCCGUCAAUUCUUUUGAGUUUCAGCCUUGCGACCAUACUCCCCAGGCGGGAUAUUUAACGCUUUCGCUACACCAAGGAACCCCUUGCAGGGCCCCCUAGCUAAUAUCCAUCGUUUAGGGCGUGGACUAC